CGCGUAGGUGGAUAAGUGAGUGAGAUGUGAAAGACCCGAGCUUAACUUGGGGGCGUCAUCUCAUACUGCUUGUCUAGAGUAUGGGAGAGGGAAGUGGAAUUUCUGGUGUAGCGGUGAAAUGCGUAGAUAUCAGAAGGAACAUCCGUGGCGAAGGCGACUUCCUGGCCCAAUACUGACACUGAGGCGCGAAAGCGUGGGGAGCGAACAGGAUUAGAUACCCUGGUAGUCCACGCUGUAAACGAUGAGAACUAGCUGUUGGGCAGCAAGACUGUUCAGUGGCGCAGCUAACGCGAUAAGUUCUCCGCCUAGGGGAGUACGGCCGCAAGGUUAAA
rnacentral:rRNA from 1 species